rnacentral:rRNA from 1 species
UACGUAGGGGGCGAGCGUUGUCCGGAUUUAUUGGGCGUAAAGAGCUCGUAGGCGGCUUGGCAAGUCGGGUGUGAAACCUCCAGGCUCAACCUGGAGACGCCACUCGAUACUGCCAUGGCUAGAGUCCGGUAGGGGACCACGGAAUUCCUGGUGUAGCGGUGAAAUGCGCAGAUAUCAGGAGGAACACCGGUGGCGAAGGCGGUGGUCUGGGCCGGCACUGACGCUGAGGAGCGAAAGCUGGGGGAGCAAACAGG